rnacentral:rRNA from 1 species
GAUGAACGCUGGCGGCGUGCCUAAUACAUGCCAGUCGAGCGAACGGACGAGAAGCUUGCUUCUCUGAUGUUAGCGGCGGACGGGUGAGUAACACGUGGAUAACCUACCUAUAAGACUGGGAUAACUUCGGGAAACCGGAGCUAAUACCGGAUAAUAUUUUGAACCGCAUGGUUCAAAAGUGAAAGACGGUCUUGCUGUCACUUAUAGAUGGAUCCGCGCUGCAUUAGCUAGUUGGUAAGGUAACGGCUUACCAAGGCAACGAUGCAUAGCCGACCUGAGAGGGUGAUCGGCCACACUGGAACUGAGACACGUUCCAGACUCCUACGGGAGGCAGCAGUAGGGAAUCUUCCGCAAUGGGCGAAAGCCUGACGGAGCAACGCCGCGUGAGUGAUGAAGGUCUUCGGAUCGUAAAACUCUGUUAUUAGGGAAGAACAUAUGUGUAAGUAACUGUGCACAUCUUGACGGUACCUAAUCAGAAAGCCACGGCUAACUACGUG